rnacentral:lncRNA from 1 species
AUGGCUACGAUGUGCCCCACAGCUGGGAUGUUCCCCACGGCUGGGACAUGCCCCACAGCUGGGAUGUUCCCCAUGGCUGGGACAUGCCCCACAGCUGGGAUGUUCCCCAUGGCUGGGACAUGCCCCAUGGCUGGGAUGUGCACGGGAGCCGGGACGUGCACCGGAGCUGGAAUGUGCCCCAGAGCUGGGACAACUGGGAUGUGCCCUGCAGCCCGGGUGGCCAGGACAGCCAGGAUGUGCCCUGUGGCCAGGGCUGCUGGGAUUUGCCCUGCAGCCGGUGCUGCUGUGACACCUCCGGCAGGCAGAGGCAGCCGUGCCAUGCCCCGUGGCCAGGGUGGCCGUGCCGUGCCCCGUGGCUGUGCCAUGUGGAGCUGUGCCACGCCGCGCAGCGGGUGCCGCUGGCCCAGCCUGCCGGCCCCGUACGUCACCUGUCGCUGUAAUAGGAGGAGAGCAGGGCGCGGAUCUCCGCCGAGACGGCGUUAUCCUGCAGCAGGAGCCCUUCGCAGGCUGAGGGCGGCACGGCAGGGCCGGGCAGGGCUGCACCGUGGGAGGGCACGGCCAGGGGCAGAGAGAGGCAGAGGACAGCAGAGAGAAGGCAGGAGGUUAGGGAGGCGCAGGUGGCAGGAGAGGCUGGUUAGCGGAGAAGAGGAAGGUGAGGAGGAAGAUGAGGAAGAUGAAGAGGAAGGCGAGGAGGACGAUGAAGAGGAAGGUGAGGAGGACGAUGAGGAGGACGAUGAGGAGGAAGGUGAGGAGGCCACGCGCUGGCCGUGCUCACCCAUCUCGUGGUACAGCGAGCCCUGCCGGGGCAGGGGGGCAGGCGGCCGGCGCGGCGGCGGCACCUCGAUGCGCAUCAGCUCAUCACAGCACUGCUUCCACUGGCCUGCGGGGAGCAGAGGGGCCGGACUCAGUGCACCACAGGGAGGGGUCCUGGUCCCCGUUCCCGCACGCACUCAUGUCGUAGAAGUGCUGCCAGAAGGCCUCCAUCCAGCGCUGCGUCUCGGCGCGGCUCUCGGCCAGCAGCGUGUGGGUCACCUCCUCAGCCCCGUAGCGGUUGGUGACGGACAUGCUGUGCAGCUUCCCGCGCGCCUCCUGCUCCGUGGCGCGGAUCCGGGUCUCCUGCGGGGCACGCCGCGGUCAGCCUGCACCCCUGCGCCCCCCAACCCCCCGGCCCGGCCCCUACCUUGUUGA